UCCCUGGUGGGCCAGGGGCUAAGACUCUGCACUCCCAAUGCAGGGGCCCAGGUUCAACCCCUGGUCAGAGAA
rfam:Ovis aries breed Texel chromosome 7, whole genome shotgun sequence.